AUGGGGAAGAAGUAGAGCAUAUAGCUGUUUGUUUUUUUUUUUUAAACACAUUUUGUUUCCUAGUAAGAGCUGAGUAAGGCAAGUACUUACAUAUUUAAGUUAUCUUAUGAUUUGUUUACUUGAUCCCACCAUCUGUUCCUUCACUCUCAUGGAUAUUCAACUUCCCUUGCUAACAGGAAUGUAACUCUAAUUGUUCCUCCAUAGAUGGUGAUGGCUCCCUACACAUACAAUUGUGCUAAGUAUGAUAUUCUUUCAUUUGUUCCUUAUUUUUUCUUCCUUUCUUGCUUCCUUUCUUCCCUCCUGCCAUUUAUAUACCACCCAAUAUUCAAAACACCUUUCAUAUUUAGAUAGCUUGACAGCAUACAAUGUCUUACCCAGGUAAUUAGUCAUCACUUGGGUUACAUGACUCACUUUGAUUUAGGGAUUAUUCUAGGUAAAAUAUGUUCAAAUAAUAUUUCUUCUAGAUAGAGGAACAUAUAGCCAUCCAAGAACUUGGGACUACUGUUAGUAGACCUAGCCAGUAAGCCAAUGAUAAAAGUGGCUUAGAGGAGUUUUCUGGUGCUCAGUGGGUUAAGGAUGCAGCAUUGUCACUGCUAUAGCUUGGGUCACUGCUCUGGUGUGGGUUCCACUCCUGGCCCUGGAACUUCCACAUGCCAUGAGUGGGGCAAAAAAAUACUGACUUAGAAAGAGCAUGAGCAAACUGGUCUAUGUAGUCUUUAGGACUGGAUUUAGUGCUAUAGUUUUAUUUGUUUGCUUUUUAAAAAUCACACAGCAUGUAAUACCUAAAGGCUUAUGAAUGUUUAAUACACUCAAAGUUAGUAGUAGUCUUUCAAGUUUCUAAGGAGUAUGGAAACAACACUGUUGCUUUUUCUUGUGAUUGUUUUUUAACUCUUUAAAAAGAACUUCCUAAUUAUAAAUUAUAACCAUAUUAGAGCUAUAAAUUGAAGACUUUGAUAGAUAGCAAAUUUGCUAAAGGGCUUGUUAUCCUUAUAAAAUUUAUGAGUAUGUUAAUAUUCUAAUGAAAAAUUGCUGAGAAGUCAAAUUCAUAAUUAUGAACUACUUAAUUUAAUAAAAAUGUUGAUUCAAGUAAUUAUUUACUUAAAGCUUAAAUUUGCUGGAAAUCUUCUAGCAGAUUUUUAUUAAUAUCAUAUAAUAAACUAAUUGUGAAGCUUUUAAUUAAAUUCUCAGAGGUGACACUUUACUAAUAUUAUUUUUUCUCUAUGCCUUUGAAAAAAUUGGCUUAUCUAAUUUUCUUAUUUAAGAUGUCCAAGAAUCAGCAUUUAGAAACAUAAUAUAUUCAUUUCCCAUGGCUGGAGUUGGGAACAUUUGGUUCAUGCUUUCAAGGUGCUGGAGCAAAUUGGGAAAGGGAAAUUAAAGAGAUACAUUUCCAAUACUAAAUAGUUUCUAGAUGAUGUAGUUCUUAAAGAUUAAAUUGUAUGUCUUGAUUGGAAAUUCUCUGGUGAGAAACAGGAUAGUUUUGUCUGUUUGUAAUCUUAGGUUGAAAAUAUAUAGCAAAACAGUACAAAAUAUCUUUAACCCUAUUAAAUACUACAUUUUCACCUAAUCUUAAUGGCUAUUUCUAAUAAUUUACACAUUCACUGUUUACAGAGUAUUUCUGAACAUACUUUUCCUUUGAUCUGAGAUUCCUAUUCAGUCUGCUAAUGAAGAAUGGAAUGAAUUAGUUUCUGUAUUAACACAUCUGCAUACUUAGGAACCCAUUAAACACUGCAUGGUAAAAAUCUAAAUGCCUUUGGAAUAACUUCCUCAAUUUUCUCAAAACCAACAUCAUGGAGUAAAGUUUUGAGAUGCCCUGUCAAAAAUGACAGUUUUAAAAGUCUUUUAAGAAAUCCUUGCUAAAGUGAAAGUGCCUAAGGAAGGUAAACAUGAAAAGCAGGUUAAGGAUGGUCUGCCCUGAUUGAGUUUGGUUGUGUGGUCCUGAGUUUUGCCCCCUCACAAAUAUACAGGUAACUCCAAGGGAACCUUUUGAAUCAGAGUUUAUGAGAUGUUGGUCCAUGGGACUGUUUACAAAUUGGCUUGACAUUUUGCUGUUGUAAAGCAAAGCACAUGAAUAACGUUUCUCUUAGAAAAGAAUCCAUGAAGAACAACCCUCUCCUCUUUCCUCUCUCUGUUGACUUAUGUUAUUUAUAGUAGCAUGAGUUUAAAUCAAAUAAAUGAUAACUUAAUUGCUGCAAAUGGCAUUAUUUUGUUCUAUUUUAUGGCUGGGUAGUAUUCCAUUGUGUAUAUAUACCACAUCUUCCUAAUCCAAUCAUCUGUCGAUGGAGAUUUGGGUUGUUUCCAUGUCUUGGCUGUUGUGAAUAGUGCUGCAGUGAAAAUGCAGAUGCAUGUGUCUUUUUCAAGGAAAGUUUUGUCCAGAUAUAUGCCCAAGAGUGAGAUUGCUGGGUCAUAUGGUAGUUCUAUAUACAGAUUUCUAAGGCACUUCCACACUGUUCUCUAUAGUAAUUGUACCACUAUGUCUAGUCACUUAUGAUGGAGCAUGAUAAUGUGAGAAAAAAGAAUGUAUACAUGUAUGUGUAACUGGGUCACCAUGCU
rnacentral:lncRNA from 1 species